AAAUUGAAGAGUUUGAUCAUGGCUCAGAUUGAACGCUGGCGGCAGGCCUAACACAUGCAAGUCGAACGGUAACAGGAAGCAGCUUGCUGUUUCGCUGACGAGUGGCGGACGGGUGAGUAAUGUCUGGGAAACUGCCUGAUGGAGGGGGAUAACUACUGGAAACGGUGGCUAAUACCGCAUAACGUCGCAAGACCAAAGAGGGGGACCUUCGGGCCUCUUGCCAUCAGAUGUGCCCAGAUGGGAUUAGCUUGUUGGUGAGGUAAUGGCUCACCAAGGCGACGAUCCCUAGCUGGUCUGAGAGGAUGACCAGCCACACUGGAACUGAGACACGGUCCAGACUCCUACGGGAGGCAGCAGUGGGGAAUAUUGCACAAUGGGCGCAAGCCUGAUGCAGCCAUGCCGCGUGUAUGAAGAAGGCCUUCGGGUUGUAAAGUACUUUCAGCGGGGAGGAAGGUGUUG
rnacentral:rRNA from 2 species